rnacentral:lncRNA from 1 species
AAUAGAUCAAGUUAUUUGAAUUGAAUGGUUUUAUGUUGCUCUGGAAUGACUGAACACAAAAUUCUCCUUCACAGCCAAUUUCUGAAGAUGAACCAUUUUUCAACCCAAAGAUCCAUAAACUUAUUACUGGAUAUUUGCACAGCAGUUUUGAUGACAGUGUAAGAUAAAUACCAGUGGUUUCUUCCUCAGCUGAAACUCUUCUUGUUUCUUCUCCUCCUCACACAUAGCAAUCUUCUUAUAAAGGCACUUUAAAAAGUCUUGUACAUGUUUAGUGCAUGCCUCUUAAAUGAUCUCAGGACAGCACGUCUUUGUCAUUGAGCCAAAAUAUUCCUUCUAAGUACAAAGCUAACAGCUAAAGAAAUCCCUGAUUGUUUAUACCUAUUUUUUCUAUGCAGAAUUGUUUUACAUUUCCAAAUAUAUUUUCUUCAUCACAGAAUUCCACAGUAACUUUUCAGUCUGCUAUUGGAGGUGGUUUGCUGAAAGGCAAAAUCUGUAAGGAUACCCAAGAUGAUCUGCAUGAAUGCAGCUGUGGGAAUCCUUGAAUGGUGGAGAGGAAGAUUCCAUAACCCUGGUCUAUGGGUAAAGCUGCUUCAACAAUGAUGCCGGAAUGCCAGUAGGGAUAACUGGGAGAAGCAGACCAAUGCAGAGGUAAAAAGAAACCAACAGGAGAGACCUGGUUGACCACAAGCUUCAGAUGCAGCUUCUCUUAUGAACAGAACACUUACUAAAUCAGAUAAUCUGUACAGAUUCUGAAAUAGCAGGUUAACUCAUGCUACAGACCCUUCAACAGCCACACUUAAUGGGAUUCUCUCCAUUUACAACCUACCUUUGUGGUUUUGUUGUUCUAUGAAAUUUGAUUGAAAUUAUCAAAUGGAUUAAAUUCUGGAAUAAUGGCUGUUGGGAGGAGUGGGCAGAUGCAAUGUUCAAGUACAGUCACAUAAGAUUCACUGUUUUCAGGAUUUAUAUGUAAAAAUUUAUUUAAGAAAAAGUAAACAGAUCUUUCCUUGAAAUCUGUUUUCUCCAUGCACAACUCUUCUGUGAAUAACUUCUUUUAAAGGGUCACUCUUAAUGUCUGCCACAGAAAUUGCUAGGGUCACCAAAGGUUUUUCAAGCCACAGACAGUGUGAAUACUUUGUUUUUUAUUAGCUAAAUACACUGUGUACUCACUACAGUGUUUCUAAAAUAUGACUCCAGAUUUUCUAUGGAAUCUAUUAAACUUGUCAAGAUGAUUUCAUAAUUUUCCAGUCUCUCUAACUAGAUAUAAUAAAAAGAAAAUAGUACAUAUGAAAACA